AGAACAAGAAAAGUGAGGAACAGCUGGAACAGUAUCGAUGUGAAAUCCAGGAACUGAAGCUGAAGCACCGGAAGCAGCGGAUAAGAUUUGAAAACCAACUCCAUCAACUGAUCGAGCUGCACAAGAAUCUGCACUCUGUCUUUGUGAGUUUCUUUGUUUGAUACAAAAAUAAAUGGGGCUCAUUUUC